rnacentral:rRNA from 1 species
GAUGAACGCUGGCGGCGUGCCUAAUACAUGCAAGUCGAGCGAACAGACGAGGAGCUUGCUCCUCUGACGUUAGCGGCGGACGGGUGAGUAACACGUGGAUAACCUACCUAUAAGACUGGGAUAACUUCGGGAAACCGGAGCUAAUACCGGAUAAUAUAUUGAACCGCAUGGUUCAAUAGUGAAAGACGGUUUUGCUGUCACUUAUAGAUGGAUCCGCGCCGCAUUAGCUAGUUGGUAAGGUAACGGCUUACCAAGGCGACGAUGCGUAGCCGACCUGAGAGGGUGAUCGGCCACACUGGAACUGAGACACGGUCCAGACUCCUACGGGAGGCAGCAGUAGGGAAUCUUCCGCAAUGGGCGAAAGCUUGACGGAGCAACGCCGCGUGAGUGAUGAAGGUCUUCGGAUCGUAAAACUCUGUUAUUAGGGAAGAACAAAUGUGUAAGUAACUAUGCACGUCUUGACGGUACCGAAUCAGAAAGCCACGGCUAACUACGU